UCAAACUUGGUCAUUUAGAGGAAGUAAAAGUCGUAACAAGGUUUCCGUAGGUGAACCUGCGGAAGGAUCAUUACCGAGUUAGGGUACCGCUCCCACAAGAGCGCGCCCGACCUCCCAACCCUUUGUCUACCUGACCUUUUUGUUGCUUCGGCAGGCCCGCUGGGGCGUAAAAACCCUGGCCGCCGGGGGUGGUCACCACCCCGGGCCCGUGCCUGUCGACGGCCCAAACCACAAAACUCUUGUUAAAAACGUGUCGUCUAAGUACUACAAAACAAAUGAAAAUUAAAACUUUCAACAACGGAUCUCUUGGUUCUGGCAUCGAUGAAGAACGCAGC
rnacentral:misc_RNA from 1 species